UCACUUUGGCAGCACGUAUACUAAAAUUGGAACAAUACAGAGAUUUGCAUGGCCCCUGUGAAAGGAUGACAUGCAAAUUUGUGAAGCGUUCCAUAUUUUU
rnacentral:snRNA from 1 species